GGGUUUCUACUUUCUGGGGGUACAGAAAAUAGAAACAUGACUCAGAGUUCCUGCCUCAUGGAGUCUGGGAGCUUCCAGGAACACCUCAAGGAGGAAGCAGGUGAGGACAGAGUUGGUUGAGGGAGAGAGUAGCAAGAUGGCUGUUGUAGAGCAGAGUUUACAGGGUCCCCCGUUCUCAGUUCCAAAGCUAGGGUCUUUGUUAUAUAGUAGAAGGUUUCCAUUGCACCCCACUAACAGUGCAAAUCUUGGGGGACAGAGGACCAACUAGUGCUCAGGCCUCCCACUGACACACUCUUGGCCUUCCUAGGGCUCACUACUAUACAACACAGGUGUCAUGUCCCAACACCCACCCAGCUUACCUGCAGAUCCCAGAAGAGCCAAGAGGUUCCGAGGGCACCCUUAAUGAGAUGAGACAAGGCACCUGAUGACACCCUUCCAUUACACCAGGCACCAGUACAGAAAGCAAGCUGUUCUGCGGCACCAGAACAUAUGAAAAGGAAGCGCAGUUUUCCACACACAGUCGCUUCCUGUCUCAGACCCCAUGACUGCAGAGUUCCAGAAAGUAAACACUGUAGAUCCAAGCGGAGUGCCAGAUGGUGGGCUGAAGUAGAACCAGCUCACAGAACCUGGAACACACAGGGCUGGGAGCUCCUUGCUCUCUUCGUCUGCUUCCACCUAUUCAGAUGUCCCUGGGCGGGGUUCAGGAAUAGAAGCUUUCACUGAAGAGACAUCAGGCAUCUAAGGAUCGCUUGACACAGUGGAAUACCAGGCACACAGUGGGAACCUUCUCCCAGUGGGUUGCUAACAGAUGAAGAGCAGAAACAGGAAUGGAUCUUUCCUCUUAAAGUUCCUGCCACCUUAGAUUGGAGACCAAGCCUGCAGAACGUGAAGCUUGGGAAGUCAGAUCACGCUCCAAGAAUGGUGUUGUAUGAGGAAGAUUCUGAGUGCUUGGGAGAAAACUCCAAGAAACCAGGACAAGAGAUUUGUGAUUUCAGUUUCUUCAAAGUCACAAAAUUUUUCUUGGAUUAUGCUUUUGUGCCCCUCCCAGAUGUAGCAGUUUACUUCCGAUUAUUCAUCAUAACUGGCUAUUAUUUGUUUAUACACCUCUAUGGAAAAUCCGUGUGUGGCUUUGGCCUGGGGACUGUACACUUUACUCACUUGGCUCUGAGUAACCCUCAAAGUAUAAAUUGUCUGAUGCUCUGAACAAA
rnacentral:lncRNA from 1 species